rnacentral:lncRNA from 1 species
GAUGGUUUGGAUGGUUUGCACUUUCCCAGGUGUUUUCUAGAAAUUUUUAGAAAUCUGUCUACUCCCUUAGAGCCAACAAGAAUGAUGUAUGAAAAAGAAGCUUCACUUCCAUACUUCCUUUGCUUCAUGAUGUACUUGAAAGAAGAUACUCCCGAGUUUAGUUUAAGAACAUUGAUCAACCAGACUGCUGUGUUGAGAAGAAUACAGACACCGCAUUCAGAUUCAGUGAGAAAAGGUGCUUUGAUCAACUAAUAUUGUCUGCAGUGGACCAUCCAUGUGUGUCGGGUUUUACUAUUCCUGGCUUAAGCAUUCUCUGUAACCACGAGCUUGCAACUAAAAUGCUUAGAAAUGUAUAGCUACCGUAAAGCCAGUUUAAAUCUAUAUGCCAAAAGGCCUUAUUUAAAUUUGUUGUGUCCAGUGUUUUACUCUAAGUAAAGAUAGUAUUCUCUGCAAGUUUGUUUGUUUGUUUGUUUUUUCCGUAUGUGGAACUCUCUUGUGUAGUUGUAAAUUUCACAGGGAUCCAGAGUGUUGCUAAAGGAAUUAUAUGCAAAUUCCAGGUUACACUUAGUUGGCAAACUCUUACUAGAAAGUUGCUGGGAAAAGAGAGUUUUGCUUUUCUUUAAAAGACAAAAUGGAAAAACAGGUCAUGAGUCUUAUGCUGUCAGAGCAGAGAUGCAACUCUAUGACACGUGUAUCUUCUGAUUCAUUUAGAAAGCAAGAGGGGGCCUGGAGGAGUGAUAAGGACUUUUCAAGUGCAACACAAAUGCUGGAAAGAAAAGCUUAGCUUUCUCUUUAUUUAGCUCCAACAAGCCAAGCAUGGGGACAAAAAGGGCAGAGUUAAAUUAAACCACAAUUAAAAAUAGCUAAGACUAUUGAGUAAAGCACCAAAUUGCAUCUAAAAAAUGAUGUCUUUAAAAAGCUGUCAUUGCAGCAACCUUCUUUUUGUGCCCCACACAACACAUUUCAUCAGCAUUGGUGACAAGACAGUGACUUGGUGAGGCCGUGAUUCUUUCAGAGGGAGGGAAUUCUGCAACCCCCCACAAAGAUAAACUGGAAUUUUCAGAGUAUGGUUUGAAAAGGCCCCUUAAAGACUCUUAUACACAUCCCUUGGGGCACGUGUCCCUCUCUCUGAUGACUUACCCACUUGUGAAUCAGGAAUUACUGCCUUAUUGGAAUGAUCUGCAUUGCUAUUUAAUUUUUGUCUUGUUUAGCUGCAUCCAUGGAGAAUGGCCCAUUUGUAUAUAAUAUCUGGUAAUUCCAGGUCUUAGUUUGGAUUCUUUCAAAAACAAAGUUUAAGGGUCUUGGAAGCAGAUUGUUUAUCUGGUAGGUGGUCUCAGAAGGAGUGAGAAAACAGAUUAAGACAGGGAAGGAGGAAAAUAUAUGAGUGUGUUAUUGAGGUCACACUAUGGGCAACAGGGUCUUCAUUAUACCAGGACACAGAAAAGUAUACAAAUACAUCCCAGAAUUGUCCCUCUGAAGUAUGGAAGUUUGGUGCAUUUCUGCACUGACACCCUUCCUAUUGGUUGCGUGUUGCCCCAGGGGCGUUAGCAUAUAGCAGCCCCCGACUUUGGGGCUAUGCACUUGUGUGGACAGAGUACUCCCUGGCAUCAGAGAAUCUUGCUCAUUACUGGCUUGCAGAAAGGCUCAUGAG